rnacentral:piRNA from 1 species
UCCCUGUCUAACACACCACCCCUUCAUGAGC